CAACGUACACAAUCUGCCUUAUACUGGGGCAUAUCCUCGGGAAACUGAGAGUAAUUCCCCAUAACAUAUUGAAAAGGCAUCUUUUUAAUAUUAAAACUCCGGUGGUAUAAGAUGAGUGUGCGCCUGAUUAGCUAGUUGGUGAGGUAACGGCUCACCAAGGCAACGAUCAGUAACUGGUCUGAGAGGAUGAUCAGUCACACGGGCACUGAGACACGGGCCCG
rnacentral:rRNA from 1 species